rnacentral:rRNA from 1 species
GACGAACGCUGGCGGCGUGCUUAACACAUGCAAGUCGAACGGAAAGGCCCUUCGGGGUACUCGAGUGGCGAACGGGUGAGUAACACGUGGGUGAUCUGCCCUGCACUUUGGGAUAAGCCUGGGAAACUGGGUCUAAUACCGGAUAGGACCACGCGCUUCAUGGUGUGUGGUGGAAAGCUUUUGCGGUGUGGGAUGGGCCCGCGGCCUAUCAGCUUGUUGGUGGGGUAAUGGCCUACCAAGGCGACGACGGGUAGCCGGCCUGAGAGGGUGACCGGCCACACUGGGACUGAGAUACGGCCCAGACUCCUACGGGAGGCAGCAGUGGGGAAUAUUGCACAAUGGGCGCAAGCCUGAUGCAGCGACGCCGCGUGAGGGAUGACGGCCUUCGGGUUGUAAACCUCUUUCAAUAGGGACGAAGCGCAAGUGACGGUACCUAUAGAAGAAGGACCGGCCAACUACGUGC